CAGACAGGGAUUGAGAAGAGGAAAUACCACCACUGUGCAGCCAAACUGUGCUGAGGACUGAUUGAAAGAAACUGCUGCUCCAGAUGUUGCUCUAGCCAGCUUGCAAAGUGUGAGCAGGAACAGACUGACUCCAUCAACUGGGCUCUCCCAGUUUAGAGACAAGACUGCUUGAAGCAAUUAGGUUCACCAAUUAACAUAGUUUUACUGACCGGGGCAACAGCAGCGCUGGCUCCUCAGAUUAUCCGAUUCUUCAAAGUCCCGGGAAAACGGAGGAAAACAUGCUUCCCAGGUGUGCCAGGCAGGAGACGAUCCUACAAACAGGUUCAUUUUUCUAAUGAAAACCAUAGGACUGUGUCUACACUGGCAAGAUGAAGUAAAGAACCAAGUAAUCUGGUAAAUAAAUCAUCAUCAUUUUGACUCUUCAUCUUGCCAAACUAUUUCAAUAGACCAAGCUGAAUGCUCAGUGGUGAUGACUCUUUCCUGCCAAAUGUUACCAAUAAUGCACAAGUCAACAGCCCUGGAGAUGGUGGGUCACAAAGGUUGGAGGAAAAGGGAUCAAGCAAGGAACUUCAUCAAGUUUUUAAACUAGGAAAUGAAGGAGGUGCACACAAUGUCUUCUGAGAUCCCUUCCAGCACUACAACUGUGAAUGGAAGAUCCAAUGGAUUGGAUUCGUCACAAAGCAUAUUCUUCAAAGAAAAACUCAAGAAUCAUAUUUAUUACCUGAAGAAUGGGAAGUCAUUUGCCAUUCUCUUCCCUUUUUAAGAUCUCUUGAGAGCAUGAACACACACGUAUGAGACAAAUUGUAAAAGUCUCAUCAGCUGGGGAGAGGGGAUCUCUCCUUUGAAGCUAGCUCCUGUUUCUCUGAAAUGAGAUUCCGUAUUCCCAGGCCUCUACUCUGCAGUCCCAGCACAAACACACACGCCAACAGCUGCACAGCACUUUAAAGAGGGAGCAAGAAGCUAUCAAGCAAUUACUUAUUCCAUUUUAGAUCCACAUCCAUGAUUUUUACUUCCAGAGGGUUAGGGAGGGGAGAAGGAGAGAGGUAAAGAAUAAGAUGAGGUAAAUACCCAUCUAGAAAUGUGUGUAACAUAGGAAAGUAUGAAUUUAAUUGGAAAGAUAAAAUUCCAUCAGUGGGGGAUGUAGGGAAAAGACUAUCACAUUCUAUAAAUAAAACUAUACAGAAUGUGUAAACUAGUGAAUCUGGCACUAACUUUCCUUUUGAGAUAAGCGAGGGGCAUUCUAUGAUUCUGGUGAGUCCAUUUUCCAGUGAGGCUCAUGCAAUUAUUCUAAAUGAAGCAGUAAGAUCUCUUUAUAGAGCUAUGCGGGAGUCAGAUUAGUCUAUCUUAGUAUCUGGAGGACUGCUGGGGAGGACUGAUGGCUUAAUACUCUGUACUGAAGCUCAACUUGUCAAAUAACUCCAAGUAUUUUACCAGCUCAGCUCCUUCCAGACAGGCCACACAAUGUUGAGGGAGUCAACAAUCAAGAGACUGGUGGGUGACUUCCAGUUCUUCUACUAACUUGCCAUGUGACUUUGGACUAAUUACUUAGGCUUUCUGAAUGUCAGUUUCCUCCUCUGAGACAUGAAUGGGGACCAUAGAAUUUCAAGAUGGGAAGGGUGUUUAGAGAUAAUCUAAUAACUCCCUCAUUUUACCAAGGAGGAAGUUGAGACCCAGAGAGGUUAUAAUAUUUUACUAUUUACUUUACUGUCUUCUCAUGAAGAUCAAAGGAAAUGCUUCUUUCAAAUACUUUGUUCACCUUAAGUGUCUUACAGAAAAAAUUUUACUCUACUCAGAUGAAGGAAUAGCCCAGUUAGGCUAAACACUUUUGCCAGUGUCCACUAAUAAGCUGGGAGGUACAUUAGAAACUGAUCUCAGAUAAUG